UACGUAGGGUGCAAGCGUUAAUCGGAAUUACUGGGCGUAAAGCGUGCGCAGGCGGUUGUGCAAGACAGAUGUGAAAUCCCCGGGCUCAACCUGGGAAUUGCAUUUGUGACUGCACGGCUAGAGUGUGUCAGAGGGGGGUAGAAUUCCACGUGUGAGCAGUGAAAUGCGUAGAGAUGUGGAGGAAUACCGAUGGCGAAGGCAGCCCCCUGGGAUAACACUGACGCUCAUGCACGAAAGCGUGGGAGCAAACAGG
rnacentral:rRNA from 1 species